ACAUGGAAAAGCUAAGGUUAGGGACAUGUGCUUAGGAUACCAGCAUGGGGGGAAUCCAAGACAUGCGGACUGUGCGCCCCGACUAUCUCCUCGGGUGAGCUAGGCCAAAAGAGCCUGCUGGAAAAAUCAAGGUGGCCUCUGAGGAACUGUGCUGGAUUGGCGCUCUGGCCUACCCAUGCGCACACGCAGAUAACUGAGCAUUUAUGUUAAAUAGUGACGUCUGAAAGACUUGUAACUCUGGCAAGAAAAGAUCUUCUCGACUAAACUGAACUGAGUGCCACUCAUCUUUUGGGUACUGUUUAAAAUCUAAUCCAAGAAGCCAAUGCCUGAGAAGUCAUCGUUAGGACUUGAAUCUCACAUUUGUUAGAGAGGUGAACUCUAGGUCAGUGGGACAACCUCAUCACUCCUGCCUGAGCAGAACAUUAUCCGUCAAGUUCAGCUCCCAUCUGCACAUUCGGUCCGUUACUAAAGAAGGCCUCUCGGCCUGUCUGUGACCACAUAAGAAUAGAAUGUUCGUGCCCACCAGGUGCCAGCGGAAUCCCUGGCAGUUCUGGCCAUUUGGCUUUUCCGGGGCAGAGUGGAGUCCUGGGCUGGGGGGAUGGGACAGAGCAUCAACCCCCCCCCCCCCGCCCCCCGAAACAGCUUCUUGUGGUGGCGGAUAUGGCCAGUCUCCGAAAAAAGACAGAAUGUUCCCUUUUGAGAGAAGAAACCUCUGUUGUGACCACUAAGUAGCCUGUGGCAAGACUCAGAUUCAAACCCUGAUUCUCCAAACAGAGUCUGCGGGGGCUCAAAGUCCAGGACUUUGUUUCUGUCUUCCCUGGCUUGCUUUUCACGGGACCAUUCGCUCUUCUCUGAGCCCUGAGACGCUUCCGGUGUUAUGCCUAAGGGGAAGCUGUGUGUCACAAACCACCAACGGUUCAGGCUAAGCCAGCUGGGCUCUUCCUGUAUCUGGGCAGACCAUUGAGACUUCUUAAGGAAUUCACAGUUUCCUUGGCUUCAAGAAACUUCAGCUGAGCACUGGGUCUUCAUUGAAGGCAGUUUGGAAAAACCAAAGAAACAUCAGAAGUCUAAGAUGAUUAUAGUGAAGUUGUCAUAGCUAAAACCCAAGGGGAGAGCGGGGGCAUGGCCGAAUGGAGCUCCCCCCCCCCCGAAAAAUUUCCAGGACUCACGAGAUGUCAAGUCAUCUCUAAAACUUUUCAAAAACCCAGAAAGUCAUUUCAAACAGUCUGACUUGGUGGCCACGCAGAGGGGAAGAGCCAACUUUCCAUAGAGACAGCAGGCUUGCCCCCCCACCCCAGGCUUGUGCAAAAGCGGCGGCAAUGUCGUGGCCCGGACUUCAGUGACAGCUCCCUGAGCCAGGGGAAGUCCACUUGGCUGAGUGGGUAAGCUGCUGCCCAGGGCGCAUAUCAUGAAGCCCGCUUCCAGGGGAUUUCCCUCUGCAAUGGAAUCGGCAGAGUUUCGUCUUUUCUGAAAGAUUUCCCACAGGAAUACAUUUAUUUGACUCUGUGGAAAAAUCUCAAAUGUGGAUUUCUCAUUUAGUCACACGUUUCUUCAAAUAAAGAAAAUCAACACAGUUAUCCUAAGUAGUAAGAACGCAUACUCUAUGAAUGGUCUAAUGCUUACUUCAUGCUAGGCCCUCUUUGCUUUAUGGCUAAACUGCCGAGUAAAACACAUGAUGUGGCCCCUGCCUCAUCUAAACGAGGUUCUAAUUCUAGCUGUCAGUGUUUGUACUGAAAAUAAACCUGAUUUCUUUAAGGAAAUGUUAUAAUAUGCCAUCCCAAA